CAUAGUUCUCCCUGCCCCUCUCUCUCUGCAAAUGCUAAAAACUCAACUAGUGAUCUGCAGAAGCUCCUCUACCACACCCUUCCAUUUCAAACCCUAAAUCAUAUUCUCACCAAUUUCUCUCUCUCUCCCCUCCAAUUUCUCUCUCUACAACCGACAACGGCCAUGGCUCUUCUCUCACCAAAUUCAUCGAUCUAGAGCUGCCAUGGAGACUAGCAAAAGGUGAGAGCGGGUUUUUAGAGACUUCCAUUACCUUUUACCCGUUCCGAACUCGCUCAACACUCACCAUGAUGGAUCGGUAUUAGAGGGUAGAGAAACCGAGGCCAGAGACGCCGAUUAACGAGAAUGAGAUUGGUAUAACCACUCAGGGGAGGAUGAGGAACUAAAUUAUUUAUGCUAUCACUCUGUUUCAGGAAAGAGGAAGUGGGGAUAUAUUGGAAGAAAGGAAGAAAACCUUUGUCUUUUGAGCAAUUAGUACUGUGAUAAUGGCAAAGGUGAUCACCAUGAGAAACAUCUAUUUCGGCAUUAGCAGGUUGCAAAUGCAAAUGUCUUUGGGGUUCCAAAUGAGAGGUGUUUGACGAAUUUCCAAUUCAGAACAGUGACAAAUUGAGUAUACUUUAGAGACAGUGACUAAGGAAGCUU